UACGUAGGGUGCAAGCGUUGUCCGGAAUUAUUGGGCGUAAAGAGCUCGUAGGCGGUUUGUCGCGUCUGCUGUGAAAACUCGGGGCUUAACCCCGAGCCUGCAGUGGAUACGGGCAGACUAGAGGUAGGUAGGGGAGAAUGGAAUUCCCGGUGUAGCGGUGAAAUGCGCAGAUAUCAGGAGGAACACCGGUGGCGAAGGCGGGUCUCUGGGCCGAUACUGACGCUGAGGAGCGAAAGCGUGGGGAGCGAACAGG
rnacentral:rRNA from 1 species